UCUCCGUAGGUGAACCUGCGGAGGGAUCAUUACCAGAGAUGGCGGGCCUCCGUGCCCCCGUCCCCAACCCAUUGUUGACCAAAACCUUUUUGCCUCGGGGGCAGAGCGUCCGCCGCCGCCCCCGGAGGACCACCGAACGCUGUCUCUAUACGUCGGAGUAUUGAUUAAAUAAAUGAAAACUUUCAACAACGGAUCUCUUGGUUCUG
rnacentral:misc_RNA from 1 species